UGUUUUUUUUUUUUUUUUUUUUUUUUUUUU
rnacentral:ribozyme from 1 species